CAUCAUCACCAUCACCAUCAGGAUCCCGCGCUGCACCCACUCACACAAACACCGUCGCAUUCUCGACACAACGGAUCAUAAAACCCAGAGCAGACUCACCUCAGUGCAUCGUCGGGACCGUGUCCUGCGCGUGGUGUGUUCGAGAGGAGCCUCAGCUGGAGCUGCUGAUCCGUGUGAGCGCGUGCUCCAGCCCACUGCCACUGCCACGCCUGUCCUCGCGGUCUCACAGCGGCUCCUCACUCUCAUUACAAGCACACCGUCUUCACUAAACCUAAACAGAACUGUUAAUAAAACAACUAAAUUCACCAGGUUUAAUUCGAUUAUCUGGUUUUUAUUUUGAUUGAAUUUGUUUUCAUUUGUUCCUUUAUUUAUAUUUGAGUGUCAAACACUCAUUUCUGUUUAUUUCAAUCUCGUUUUAAUUUGUACUUAUUUAUUACACAAUCGAUUAUUAUCCUGGUUAUUCAUUAUUAUUAUUAUUGUUCAGUUUUUAUUUAUACAAUAAUUCCAAAGUGUUGUCAGCGUCCCCCUAAUGGGCCGAGCAGGUAUUGCAGGUGAGAAUUUCUGAGAACAUAUUUGUAUACAUAUUUUUAUUCAUAUUAUUUUAAUGUUUCUGUUGGUUUUACGUUGGUCUUCGUGUCUUCUUAUGUUGUUUUUAUGUCUAACUGUACAGCACUUUGGUCAACUCUGUUGUUUUUAAAUGUGCUUUAUAGAUACAUUUGGAUUGGAUAUGUAUUUAUGAUAAUUAAAAUGUACAUACUGUUUAAUCUUUACAUUUAUAUGCAGAUUCUCUCCUGUACGAACUAUAUGUAUUUUUAAAUUAAACAGUCAGCUAUAAAGAAUAUUUUCUGAAUAUAAAUUUGGCCACUGUAUUUUUAAGUUUGGGAACGACUCCAUUAGUACUUUACACAUUACUGAUCAAAUUGUGUUUCCUCAGCUGCUUUUGUGUUUUUUCCAUUCUCAGAAAUCUAGUCUAGGACCUUUGAGUGAAUCAAAUAUGUACUAGUGUGUGUGUGUAUAAAAAUAUGAUUAACAAAACAUAUUCUGUCAAAAAGGAGAAAGGAGUAGAGCCUCACUCACAUAUAGAGAGGUUAGAUAGAUAAUUUAUUAAAAUUGAUAAUAUUCAUUCAAUAUUUACCAAACUUAAAUCUCACUGCAGUGUAAAUAUGUUGAAGUUGUACAUAUUAGACUUUAGUAAAGAACAUAAAACAUUUCUUUUUAGAAAGUACAAAAAAAAUGAAGCCAGACUUUAAACUUCCUUCAAAGGCGUUCGGGGAUACAAUUUGUAAAAAGGAAAAUAAAAACAAAUUCAAAUAUA